rnacentral:rRNA from 1 species
ACUGAAUAGAUACCCUGGUAGUCCACCGACCCUAAACGAUGUAAACUCGACAUUAGCGAUAUACUGUUAGUGUCUUAGACAAAAAAGCGUUAAGUUUACCACCUGGGAAGGUACGACCGCAAGGUUGAAACUCAAAGGAAAUUGGCGGGGGGUCCGGCACAAGCGGUGGAGCAUGUGGUUUAAUUCGAUGAUACGCGAGGAACCUUACCUGGGCUAGAAUGUAGUCUGACCGCUUCUGAAAGGAGGCUUUGUAGCAAUACACAGAUUACAAGGUGCUGCAUGGUUGUCGUCAGCUCGUGCCGUGAGGUGUUGGG